rnacentral:lncRNA from 1 species
GUGUGAGUGCUGUGAGUGAUGUGUGUGAGAGUGCUGUGAGUGAUGUGUGUGAGAGUGCUGUGUGUGAUGGGUGUGAGAGUGCUGUGUGUGAGAGUGCUGUGUGUGAUGGGUGCGAGUGAUGUGCGUGAGAGUGCUGUGUGUGAUGGGUGUGAGAGUGCUGUGUGUGAUGGUUGUGAGUGCGCUGUGUGUGAGAGUGGUGUGUGAGAGUACUGUGUGAGUGCUGUGAGUGAGUGCUGUGUGUGAUAGUGCUGUGAGUGAGAGUGCUGUGUGUGAUGGGUGUGAGUGCUGUGUGUGAUGUGUGUGUGAGAGUGCUGUGUGUGAUGGGUGUGAGAGUGCUGUGUGUGAUGGGUGUGAGAGUGCUGUGUGUGAUGGGUGUGAGUGCUGUGUGUGAUAGUGCUGUGUGUGAUGGGUGUGAGAGUGCUGUGUGUGAGAGAGUACUGUGUGUGAUGGGUGUGAGAGUGCUGUGAGUGAUGUGUGUGAUGGGUGUGAGAGUGCUGUGAGUGAUGUGUGUGAGAACUGUGAGUGAGUCUAGUGUGUGUAUAGGGGAUCCAGAGUGUGUAUGUUAAUAGUGUAG